rnacentral:rRNA from 1 species
UACAGGGGGUGCAAACGUUGCUCGGAAUUAUUGGGCGUAAAGCGCGCGUAGGCGGCUAUUUAAGUCGGAUGUGAAAGCCCCUGGCUCAACUGGGGAAGUGCACCCGAAACUGAAUGGCUUGAGUGCAAAAGAGGGCCGCGGAAUUCCCGGUGUAGAGGUGAAAUUCGUAGAUAUCGGGAGGAACACCGGUGGCGAAGGCGGCAUCCUGGACCGGUAUUGACGCUGAGGCGCGAAAGCUAGGGGAGCAAACGGGG